GUCAAGGUGGUGUAGUGGUUUCAGCAUCGGAUUACAACUCUGUAGACCAGGAUUCGAAUCCCUGCUCAGCCA